GUAUAAGAGACAGCAGUCGCCGCGGGAAAACAGAGGGUGCGAGCGUUAAUCGGAUUUACUGGGCGUAAAGCGUGCGUAGGCGGCUUUUUAAGUCGGAUGUGAAAUCCCUGAGCUUAACUUAGGAAUUGCAUUCGAUACUGGGAAGCUAGAGUAUGGGAGAGGAUGGUAGAAUUCCAGGUGUAGCGGUGAAAUGCGUAGAGAUCUGGAGGAAUACCGAUGGCGAAGGCAGCCAUCUGGCCUAAUACUGACGCUGAGGUACGAAAGCAUGGGGAGCAAACAGGAUUAGAUACCCCGGUAGUCCCUGUCUCUUAUAC
rnacentral:rRNA from 1 species